rnacentral:rRNA from 1 species
GGUUUGAUUGUAGCUCAGAUUGAACAUGGCGGGAUGCUUUACACAUGCAAGUCGAACGGCAGCACGGACUUCGGUCUGGUGGCGAGUGGCGAACGGGUAGGUAAUGUAUCCAGACGUGCCCCUAGUAGCGGGGGAUAACUACGCGAAAGCGUAGCUAUUACCACAUACGCCCUUCGGGGAAAGCGGGGGACCUUCGGGCCUCGCACUAUUAGAGCGGCCGAUAUCGGAUGGCCUAGUUGGUGGGGUAACGGCUCGCAAGGCGACGAUCCGUAGCUGGUUUGAGAGAGGACGACCAGCCACACUGGGACUGAGAUACAGCCCCAGACUCCUACGGGAGGCAGCAGUGGGGAAUUUUGGACAAUGGGGGAAACCCUGAUCCAGCCAUCCCGCGUGUGCGAUGAAGGCCUUCGGGUUGUAAGCACUUUGGCAGGAAAGAAGCAGCUGGGAUAUGCCCGUGCAACUGACAGUACCUGCAGAAUAAGCCACACCGGCUAACCGUGCCAGCAGCCGCGGUAAUACGUAGGGUGGCAUUAAUCGGAAUUACUGGGCGUAAAGCGUGCAGGCGGUUCAGGCGAAAGAUGUGAAAUCCCAGAGCUUAACUUUGGAACUGCAUUUUUAACUACCGAGCUAGAGUGUGUCAGAGGGAGGUGGAAUUCCGCGUGUAGCGAUGCGUAGACUGUGCGGAGGAACACCGAUGGCGAAGGCAGCCUCCUGAAAUAACACUUCGACGCUCAUGCACGAAAGCGUGGGGAGCAAACGAGUUAGAUACCCCUGGUAGUCCACGCCCUAAACGAUGUCAACUAGCUGUUGGGGCCUUCGGGCCUUGGUAGCGCUAACGCGUGAAGUUGACCGCCUGGGAAGUACGGUCGCAAGAUUAAAACUCAAAGGUGGCGGGGACCGCACAAGCGGUGGAUGAUGUGGAUUAAUUUGAUGCCGCGAAAAACCUUACCUACCCUUGGUAUGCUCUGGAAUCCCGAAGAAGUUUGGGAGUGCUCGCAAGAGAACGGAACACAGGUGCUGCAUGGCUGUCGUCAGCUCGUGUCGUGAGAUGUUGGGUUAAGUCCCGCAACAGAGCGCAACCCUUGUCAAGUGAAUUUGCUACGAAAGGGCACUCUAAUGAGACUGCCGGUGACAAACCGGAGGAAGGUGGGGAUGACGUCAAGUCCUCAUGGCCACCUAUGGGUAGGGCUUCACCCACGUCAUACAAUGAAUGGGACAGAGGGUCGCCAACCCGCGAGAGGCCAAUCAGAAACCCGAUCGUAGUCCGGAUCGCAGUCUGCAACUCGAUGAACUGCGUGAAGUCGGAAUCACUAGUAAUCGCGCCCGGAUCAGCAUGUCGCGGUGAAUACGUUCCCAGGUCUUGUACACACCGCCCGUCACACCAUGGGAGUGGGUUUUGCAGAAGUAGUUAAGCCCAACCGUAAGGAGGGCGAUUACCACAGUAGGAUUCAUGACUGGGAGUGAAGUCGUAACAAGGUAG